rnacentral:tRNA from 1 species
AAGAAAGUGACAGAGUGGUGAUGUGGUUGGCUUGAAACCAGCAUAUGGGGGUUCAAUUCCUUCCUUUCUUG